rnacentral:rRNA from 1 species
GCAAGUCGAACGAGAAAGAGAUUGCUUGCAAUCUCGAGUAGAGUGGCGCACGGGUGAGUAACACGUAGAUAAUCUACCUUCAAGCCUGGAAUAACUAUUCGAAAGGGUAGCUAAUACCGGAUAAAGUUGUUUUGCCCAAGUGAAACAAUGAAAGAUUGCCUCUUCUUGAAAGCAAUUGUUUGGAGAUGAGUCUGCGGACCAUUAGUUUGUUGGUGGGGUAAUGGCCUACCAAGGCUGCGAUGGAUAGCUGGUCUGAGAGGAUGAUC